UACAGAACAGCUGAAAUGAGUUAGUUCAAUCAACUCUAAGUUGACCGACUCUUAGUUAAGCGAGUGCACCACAACUAUAAAAAGCCCUUAUCAAUGGAGCGCAGAUAUAAUGAGUCACCUUGGCAACAAAGUCAGACAAAAAGAGGUCUGCGUAUUUCUCCCCAGCAGAACUGGAUGUGCUUAUGUAAGCAUAUGCAGAAUUUGAAGACGUUUUUUUUUAAAAAAAAGCAACAAGGCUGCAGCGUCGGAGGAGAGAGAGUUAAAUUGAACUGCACGGCUAUCGGCCGACGCUUAAAGUCGUGUAGGCUGCACGAGCCUUUAGUAUAACUUGUAGAGCACUGGGGUGAUGUGUGUGUUUGUAAAGCGGCUGUGUAGUCUGAUGUUUGCUGUAUGAAUUUACGAAAGGACUAAUAAAUGUCUAUCACCUAUAAACGUGGACAGCUGAUCCCGUUACGGGGGCGGCGCCGCCAAGCAAAGAUUCGGAUGGUAAUAUCUCUUGGAGCCUCCUGUCCCAACAUAACCCCAGGCAGUUAGUGUGGAAGAACAGCAGGAGGAAGGCCCAUCAACUUCUGGUGCACAGAUGAACACAGUUCAGUGAUUUACAGUAAAUGCCACAGUUUAAUUUUGAAUUUUAGAUCUACAUGAUGUAACUCUAAUCUACUAUUAAUUAAAAUUUUUCAGUUGCCAGUUAAGGAGUUAUAUAGACUUCUUCUUAUUAAAAAGAUAGGAAAAAAAACAGCAAAGAACUUGUAUACUUGGACCACCAGAUCCAAAAGGCAGAUCUGGAAAUCAAGAUUCUGAAACAAAAGCUAGAGAAGGUGCAAUGAUCGGAAUAUGUGUGCCAUCAAUGCAUCCAACCACAUUUGGAAAUCCUAAAGGGAAUUCUGAUUAUUAGGUUACUUCCAGGGGUCGCAGCAAGAUAUUCUUAACUGAAUGUCAUUUUUGGUUUACAUCGUACUCUGCCAGUAAGUGUGCUCGCCUUUUGUUGCUUGAAUAAACUAUUUUGAACUGUACCUCCCCCGCUCUGUGUCCUACAUUUGGGUCCACUAACCUCUCAACCACACCACAUCCUGACAGAAAGGACUUGUAUGAGAGCUAACAUGUGUGUGUAUAAAAAUGACUAGUUCAUAAAAAGAAAACAUGGGAGACAACAUUUAU